AGUUGUACAAAUUGUGGUGAGUGUAGGAGGCAAAUAUUGUUCUUUAUCAUCAAUCAUCAGCGCUACCACACCACUGAGAAAGAGUGAUAUGUCUGUAUUUAGUUAGCGGCGCCCUGGGACGUUAAGAGCAGCCGCCACAACACACAAGCAAGGGCAAGAGGAAGAGGGAGCGGGCUGAGGCGAAGCAAGCCGAGGAGGUCAACUCACUGCCCUCCCGGUGGUCCCUCCUCUGGUCAGGGAUUGAGACGGGCCCGUGAAGGAGCAAUGAUUAUUCUAACAAAGACGACAUCGGGACUCAUUCGCCACCUACUGGAGCGGUACAUAGCGACAACCACCAACAAGUAUAGCAAGACCCAGCAAGUCACGGAAUCAGACGGUACAUGGCAUUUUCACAUUGUGUGCGGCAUGGUAACGGCGGCUUAACACCACCAUGGGAGGUGGUGCAGCUUCUACAUACUCACAGACCAAC